AACCAGGCAUGGUGGCACAUGCUCAUAAACCCAAAAAUUAUACAUAUAUAUGUAUAUAUAAGUGUAUAUGUAUGUCUAUAUUAAAUAAACACAUAUAUGGAGAAAGAAAGCAAAUACUAAAACAUUAUCACUUGGUGAUUCUACAUGAAAGAUUUAUAGGUUUUCCUAUACUAUUCUUUCAGUUUUUCUCUAGGUUUACAAUUUUCCCAGUAAAAAAUGAGAAGGUUAGUAGAAAAGACAAGUAAUUUACCAUAAAACAUAUUUAAGGGGGCUGAUCUGGGAUUCAAUGCAUUUUUCAGCUCUAAGGGAGAGGACUACUUAAAGGAACUGAGAGCUAAAAAUUUUCAUAAUGUAAAAAAGAUGUCCACCACACUUCUCUGACUGCUAUUUGCUGUUUGCUACUUCUCUGUUGUUUAAAAAUUGCUAUUGGGCAAGAGGGACCCAUGGUCCCAGGUCCUAAGGCAGCUCCUUGACUCUGCUAAGGAAUGACUCUAGUAGUUUCAUCAGGGCUGCUUUCCCUUUGGCUACAGCAUAGUCAAAAUAAUUCCUGCCCCAGACUCCAGGUUCCUAGGAGACAAGGCUCAACAUCCUUGCUGAAGCUGGGAAAACCUCUGAGGGCCCAGGGUUUCCAUGGUGCAAACAAAGCUCUAGCUUUACCCACGAGCCACACCCGCUGCACAGGAGGGACAAAAUGGCAAGAGGACCUUCAGCAAAUGUGCUGUGUCUUCUAGGAUGCUUGUUUAAAAAGCUCCAUUCCCGCAGAGGCAGGUCCUGGGAAACUUUAUUUAACCAGCACCCCUCUGACACUGCAGCACAUUGAGAAACAACAGUCAGCCAGCAUGGCUGCACAUGCCUAUAAUCCCAGCUGCUCCUGAGGCUGAGGCAGGAGGAAUGAAAGUUUGAGGCCAGCCUUAGCAAUGAUCUUGAAAGCAACUGUCUUGAGAGAUUGUCCUGAAGUAAAAUAAAAAGAGCUGAGGAUGUAGCUCAGGGAUAGAGCUUCUCUGGGUUCAAUCUCUAGUACCACACACACACAUAUACACACACACAAACCCAUUCAAAUCCCAACUGCUCCCUGGAGCCUUCCUGAUCAUGAAAGCCCACUUCCAAGGGAGUCCCCUUACUUUCUCUGAUUUCAUUUGAUGUUAAGUUGGUAGCAUUCAGUCUAAUACUUUAUGAAACAUAAUCCACUGUAGUUUUUUCACUUGCUUUGCUUGAGUCAAUGUUAUCUGUCUGCAAUGUUUUUGAGGGCAGGGACCACAUCUUUCUCACCUGUACCCUCUUUGGUACUAAGGAAAAGAUUGAAGUUCCAGGUUGGUCCUCAGGAACAAUUUGCUAAUAUCUAAACUUAGAAAGAGAUGGGAGAAGAAUAGAAGCAAAAGUGGAUAGAGGUGGGCUGGAGAUGUAACUCAGCGGUAGGACACUUCCUAGCACACGCUAAGCUCUGGGCUUGGAAGGGGUGUGGCUGUGUAUAUCCUUAAGCCUGGGAUUCCAACUCUGGAUAGGUGGAACUAGGAUGACCAUACUGUCACCCCCCCUUAACUAUUUGCAUUUGGGGGUUGGCUGUCCCCAUAUAACCAUUUGCAUCCAUAAAUUUACAUAGAACUAAAGGUGCUUCCUGAGAGAAAGGGUGACUCUUGCCACCUCUCCAUGUUCCUCCUUUGUCAUUCAAAGUCCUGAAUGGUGACUGACAAUGGGGAGAGGGCGGAGCUGGCAGACACUGUAGUAUGGCUGCAUCCUGGGUGAUGCAGCUUCAAGGGAGAGAAGGGGAUGUGGGGGUGCCUGGACUUAUUCCUGGGGCUCUUGGUGAUGAAGCUGCCACAUGCAUACUGUCAACUUCAACUACUUCUCUCUGUCUGGGAUGCCCUCUUUCCCUGGUAAUGCCUAGUUGCUGCUCAAGGUAGAACGAGGUUCAGAUUCCCUCUCAGGACCCUGGCUUGAAGGCCUCUGUGAACAACUCAGUCUCCUACUGCCUUAUUUGGCUGAUAAGGCUGGUGACUCCCCGCUCCCACCUUGCCCCAGGUGGUCCCGUUCCAUGCUGAGGGGGAGCAUCCUAGGCAGAGAAGGUUCAGAGCACUCUGGUUGCUUCCAGACUAUGAGCUGCCUGUCCCAGCUCAGACAAAGAAGGAACUCAACCUUACCGGCCACAGGACAAUAAAACAAGGUGGCAGAUGGAAGAAGAGUUGCAAAGAUAGCAGUCGCUGGAGGAACAAGAAAAGGUCACUGACCUGUGAAACAUAAGUACAGUUGGGACACAGAAGGUCAGGAACCACAGAAUGGGUUCCUAAUGGCGGCAAAGUGAAAGAAAACUCAAUGGUGCAGGCAAGCUUCUCCUUUCUCCUCCCAUCUUGCAAAUGCUGCAGGGGGCGGAGGGGAGGAGGAGCUGGAGUGGGGAAUAUGUUAGCCGCCUGUUCCCGACUGUUACCAAGGGAGUGGUGGAGUCGGUCCCGGAGACCUCUCCAGAGAUGGUAGAUAAUUACAUACGUGUCUUGAUACAACUCUGUCUCAUGGCAAGCAAUGGAGUAGGUGACCCCCUCCAAAGUCCCCUCAGCUGUUUUGGAGCAGGUUACCAUAGGACAAAGAGAAGUCAGGAGACUGAACCAUAAUUAUUCAUGUGGCAUGCUUCCUUUAGCUUUUGAGAAACCUAAAAAAAUAUUCAGUGCUCAAGACCAGAAGAAUUGGGUGAUUUUACUACCUAUCCCACCCCCAUCUAUUAAAAUAGUCACAAAAUUCUGAUCUCCUGAAAUCCUUAAAACAGAAGCUGUUGAGUCCACAAGAACAGAAUUUGUAGCUUUCUUUGCCUGCAUUUCUCUCUGGUUAAAGGAGGGUGGGGUGUGUUGGAAUAUUAAUGAGGAGCAUUUAGAUGAAGCUCUUAAUUUGAGAAAAAUGUGAGAAUUAAUGCUUGAGUUUAAUGGAAGCCAGAAUCAUCACAGAUAGAUUUUUACCCUCUUCUCCUUAAUCAAUUUCACCCUAAUUAAUUCUUCUGUGGCUAAGUCUUGUUACAUUAGAUAGUCUGCUGAUUAUUUCCACAAUCAAGAGACUGUAUAUUCAUGCAUUUUUAAUAAGGAAUGACUGCAUCCUUUUUCAUAAGUGAUCCUGCUGGUUGGCAGACAUAGCCGCUAAAAUAAUUAUGGAGCAGAUUACUUACUUUUAAAGCAUUGUUUACUGUCAUAUUCAUCCUAGGUGACAAUUUGGAAGAGCUCGGGAGACUGCUAUAAUCGGACAGAGGACCUCGAUCUUGCCCUUCCCAUCUCCUGAAUUCCUUGGUAGCCUUUGGGACAUCACUCUGGAUCAUUUCACUAUAAAUAACUCUUAUGCAUAUCUUAACCACAGAAUCUGCCAUAGAAAAACAAAAACAGACUAAAGAGAAUGGAGGAAGGCAAUGCGGGGAAGAGGGCUCUCCCAAGGGCCCACUUCAGGGAAGGGAUUUAGCCCUACCAAGAUCCAAGCUAGAGAAGUGGAACUUCUCAUGUCUGCCUUGUGGCAGAGGAAAAGAACAAUGAGGAAUCCCUUAAUCACUCUUGAGACCAACUGGAUGUGAUGCACAUCAAUUCCACUGGAAAAUGAAAAAUGAAAGUGCAACUCUGACACCAGAGUUGGUGGGAUGUGUAGGGGUGGUAGCAAAUAUUUUUUGAAUAAAAAUUAGUCAAUCCACAGAGUGGUUUCAGAUUAAACUGUAUGACUUUAGAUAUACUAACAUUUAUGUAAUAAUGAGCUUUAUAUUACAAAUUUUGCUGUUUAUUAAAUCUGUAUGACUCUUGUCUGUUUACCUAAAAAUUACCCAUUCUUCACUGCCCACAUUAGGCUUCACCUCCCCCAUGCAUCCUUCUUUACUGAUUUUUGCAGCAUUUAUCAUCUCUACAACCCAUUCUGCC